GACCACCUUCGAGGAUCUUUCUGACAUUGUCAUUAAAUGUUUUGUAAGAUGUUCGAAGUGACCUAGCAAAACACCUUCUCGUGGAUAUGUCUUGAGUCAGAUUUUAUCAGAACUGAACUACAAAAAUGGAAAGAAAAUGGAAAAAUGGAAUUGCUAGAUCCGAAGACAACGAAGCUUCUUGAGAUAUGAAAAAGAGACAAAGACGCAUCUAUUUUUGGAACAACGAUGCUUUGUUAGUGUAAGAGAAGUUUGCGGAAGAAUUAAAGGAUCUCUAUAUGCAUGGAGUGUGUAAGCAAGCACAUGGCAUGACUCAUGUGAUUAUAUUAUCAUUUUUCUUUUCUUUUUGUAUUAUCUGAAUUAUUUUCUGUGUUU
rnacentral:lncRNA from 1 species